AUUGAACGCUGGCGGCAGGCCUAACACAUGCAAGUCGAACGAGUGGCGGACGGGUGAGUACUGUCUGGGAAACUGCCUGAUGGAGGGGGAUAACUACUGGAAACGGUAGCUAAUACCGCAUACCAUCGGAUGUGCCCAGUUGGGAUUAGCUAGUAGGUGGGUUAAUGGCUCACCUAGGCGACGAUCCCUAGCUGGUCUGAGAGGAUGACCAGCCACACUGGAACUGAGACCCGGUCCCGACUCCUACGGUAGGCAGCAGUGGGGAAUAUUGCACAAUGUGCGCAAGCCUGAUGCAGCCAUGCCGCGUGUGUGAAGAAGGCCUUCGGGUUGUAAAGCACUUUCAGCGGUGAGGCGUUACCCGCAGAAGAAGCACCGGCUAACUCCGUGCCAGCAGCCGCGGUAAUAC
rnacentral:rRNA from 1 species